rnacentral:rRNA from 1 species
AGAGAGAGACAUGCGCGCAUAUCAAUAAGCGGAGGAAAAGAAACUAACAAGGAUUCCCUUAGUAACGGCGAGUGAAGCGGGAAGAGCUCAAAUUUGAAAUCUUCAAGGUUCUACCUUGACGAAUUGUAGUUUAUAGAAGUGUUUUCUGUUAGUGGAGUGGCAAAAGUUCUUUGGAAUAGGACAUCAUAGAGGGUGAGAAUCCCGUAUUUGGUCAUUCCUCCUAGCGUUGUGAUACACUUUCAACGAGUCGGAUUGUUUGGGAAUGCAGUCCAAAAUGGGUGGUAAAUUUCAUCUAAAGCUAAAUAUUGGCGAGAGACCGAUAGCGAACAAGUACCGUGAGGGAAAGAUGAAAAGAACUUUGAAAAGAGAGUUAAACAGUACGUGAAAUUGUCAAAAGGGAAGCGUUUGACACCAGUGUUGUUUUUCCGAAAAUCAAUUACGAAUGUUUUGUUUUUGAGGAGUUAUGACUUCAUCGGCUUGCUCCUUUCUUUAUGAAACUUUCUUAAUGCACUUUUCGGUUAACAAGUCAACAUCAAUUUCUUUUGUUGUAAAAGGGUAUGAGGAAGGUGGCUUUCUUUUCGGAGAAAGUGUUUAUAGCCUUGUGCCUCUGCAAUCGGAGAGAUUGAGGUCUGCAGCGUAGAUCCUUCGGGGUUAGAUACAUUUGUGCUAAGUUAUAGCUUUUCAUAGACAACUUGUUGACUAUGCUCAGUCAUGUAGCUUACUCGCUUAUGCUAUUUUACCUACGCUUAGGAUGUUGAUAGUCACAGCGUGUAC